rnacentral:rRNA from 1 species
AUUGAACGCUGGCGGCUGGCUUAACACAUGCAAGUCGAGCGGAGAUGAGGUGCUUGCACCUUAUCUUAGCGGCGGACGGGUGAGUAAUGCUUAGGAAUCUGCCUAUUAGUGGGGGACAACAUUCCGAAAGGAAUGCUAAUACCGCAUACGCCCUACGGGGGAAAGCAGGGGAUCUUCGGACCUUGCGCUAAUAGAUGAGCCUAAGUCGGAUUAGCUAGUUGGUGGGGUAAAGGCCUACCAAGGCGACGAUCUGUAGCGGGUCUGAGAGGAUGAUCCGCCACACUGGGACUGAGCCACGGCCCAGACUCCUACGGGAGGCAGCAGUGGGGAAUAUUGGACAAUGGGCGGAAGCCUGAUCCAGCCAUGCCGCGUGUGUGAAGAAGGCCUUUUGGUUGUAAAGCACUUUAAGCGAGGAGGAGGCUACCUGGAUUAAUACUCUAGGAUAGUGGACGUUACUCGCAGAAUAAGCACCGGCUAACUCUGUGCCAGCAGCCGCCGUAAUAC